AGAGGAAGUUGUGCGGAUUUUUGAAGUUGAAGAGGAAAAUGGAGUUGAAGCAUGAUCAGAUAGCCUGAGAAUAGGGGAACGUGAAAAAAGAAGAUGGUCUUCAGAUCAGGGGUGGGUUCUACUUACCUUUACUACCAGUUCGCAAUGGGGCCGUGCAUGCUCGCUUCUGCGCAGCAGAAGCUUCCUGAUGACAUCAGGGUCGGUGGACGGAGCCUCCUGCUGGUUUUACUACUGGUUCUAUAGAACUGAUCCGAACCUGGGACAACCCACCACUGCUUCAGAUGCACCCUAAUCAGUGUAGUGGGUUGCUCCCGGUUGUGUCUGGUUCUAUAGAACCGGUAGUAAAACCGGCGGGAGGCUCCGCCCACCUGCCACGACGUUAUCAUGGGUCAUCUGCGCAUGGUGCGAACCGUUAGUAAAGAUGGUGCCAUCUCCUUCGCGUAUCCUGAUAUCCAGUGCAGCACAAUGAAGUUAUUUCAGAAAAGAUCCCAGGAGAACUAACCGAAACAUGGCAUGGAAAGAAAAAAGAAUUUUCAAUUCCUGUAAACACUGGCAAGAACAUUCUCUGUCAAAUGUGGAAUAAAAAAAAUCCGGAGACACAAGAA